rnacentral:tRNA from 2 species
GGCGGUGUAGCCAAGCGGUAAGGCACCGGACUGCAAAUCCAUGAUCGCCGGUUCGAAUCCGGUCGCCGCCUCCA